UUGUAUUUCAUAUAAUAUUAACUUGAUUCACUGAUGAUGAUGGGAAAAUGUUGAGCUUCUGCAAUAUUCUUUAUAUUGAGACCAAGUCGUGCCAUCAAAGUGCCUUUGUUCACUUUGACUCUGUCCCCCAAAGUAAUCAGUUAAAUGAGGCACAUUGUGUCUGUGCCAGAUCUUUUGGCUGAAUGAAUAUACUGAGGCUAUACACAUUCAUUAAUCACCUGGAUUAUAUUACUUUGUCUUCAUUUGGCUGCUCAUUUUAAAGGUUGCCACAAGUUAUCCUCCUACAUCUCCCCCUCUUCCAGCAUCCACCCCUAACAGCCUUGCUGCUCUCCUUCUGUCACAAAUCACCUUUGAUGUUGAUCUCCACCCAAUCCACCCCGCCUGCAUUCUCCUUUCUCACCUCCCUUUGCAUUGUCCAUUCCUUUCAAGGGUUGACUCCAGGUCUACAAAGAGUCGCACUUCCUGCUGUGGUUCAGAUGUUCAGCGUGUUGCUUUGUUUCUCACAUGUUGGCUCCACGGUCUCUGCUGCUGUGGGCUGAUGUCAUGCAGCAAUACAGCUGCUGAACAUCUGGCCUUUUUUUGCUCCAUCAGCAGAUAUUUGACUUUUAGAUCACAUGAUAUUUGCAUGCAACCUUCAAACACGUGUGGAGAAUUCAUUAUUUCUUUGAGAGAUUUUUUAGUAAAUAACAGAAAAAAGAAAGUAAGAGAAAAGCAAAACUUUAAUUCUAUAAAAGAGUAAAAAUUCGUCACACAUGUAACUCACCACUGUGUGAACAUCACAGGGGAGAAAUCGUUUCUCUGAGUCAGAGAUGAGUGUCAGUAACACAAAAGUAACACUCAGUGUCAUGCAGUGACUUUUACACAACCAGAUCAGAUGAACCAACUCACACUAAAACAUGCAUUUUGCUGCACUCUUUACACUUAUUUCUUUUCUUUCUGCUCUUUUAUAUAUUUUGUAAAACCACAAAAAAUAUUUUAUAUCAGCAGCAAUUUUUCUCAAACUGCUGCAUCACAGCUUUCAUGCUCUGACCUGCAUGUGAAAUGAGAUAUGCUGUCAUACUCACACAUUUAUAACAGGAAGUGGAAAGAAGCUCGAUCUGUCACGUCACUCAAAUGCGACAAACCAGGAAACAGGAAGUUCUUCUUCCUCAGUAAAGAGAGACGCACAGACGAUCAGACUGAGUUCAGACCAAACUAGCAGCUUCCUCUGAGUGAGUCCAGCUACAGGAGAGAAAAGUGGAAAACUCCAACACUGCUGCUUCAAGCUGCUGACGCUCCACACACUGAAUCUUCACUCACAGACUCAAUGGCUUCCAGAUCAGAGGAGGAUCUCUGCUGUCAGGUCUGUCAGGAGGUCUUCAGAGAUCCUGUUCUUCUGUCAUGUAGCCACAGCUUCUGUAAAGACUGUCUGAAGAGAUGGUGGAGA